rnacentral:rRNA from 1 species
CCUUCCGUAGGUGAACCUGCGGAGGGAUCAUUACACAAUAAAAUACGAAGGCCGUUCGCGGCUGGACUAUUUAUUACCCUUGUCUUUUGCGCACUUGUUGUUUCCUGGGCGGGUUCGCUCGCCACCAGGACCACAAUAUAAACCUUUUUUAUGCAGUUGCAAUCAGCGUCAGUAUAACAAAUGUAAAUCAUUUACAACUUUCAACAACGGAUCUCUUGGUUCUGGCAUCGAUGAAGAACGCAGCGAAAUGCGAUACGUAGUGUGAAUUGCAGAAUUCAGUGAAUCAUCGAAUCUUUGAACGCACAUUGCGCCCUUUGGUAUUCCAAAGGGCAUGCCUGUUCGAGCGUCAUUUGUACCCUCAAGCUUUGCUUGGUGUUGGGCGUUUUUGUCUUUGGCCCGCCAAAGACUCGCCUUAAAAUGAUUGGCAGCCGGCCUACUGGUUUCGCAGCGCAGCACAUUUUUGCGCUUGCAAUCAGCAAAAGAGGACGGCAAUCCAUCAAGACUCCUUCUCACGUUUGACCUCGGAUCAGGUAGGGAUACCCGCUGAACUUAAGCAUAUCAAUAAGCGGAGGAAA